CAAUCUGGUGAGUAAAGUGGCGUACGGGUGUGUAACACGUGGAUCAUCUGCCUUUUUGUGGGGGAUAACCUGGGGAAACCUGGGCUAAUACCGCAUAAGCUCGAAAGAGGAAAGCCCAAAAGGCGCAGGAAGAGGAGUCCGCGGUCGAUUAGCUAGUUGGUAGGGUAAAAGCCUACCAAGGCAACGAUCGAUAGCCGGCCCGAGAGGGCACACGGCCACACUGGCACUGAAACACGGGCCAG
rnacentral:rRNA from 1 species